rnacentral:rRNA from 1 species
GACAGAGGGUGCAAACGUUGCUCGGAAUCACUGGGCGUAAAGGGCGUGUAGGCGGGUAGAUAAGUCGGGCGUGAAAUCCCUAGGCUCAACCUAGGAACUGCACUCGAAACUGUUUAUCUUGAGUGCCGGAGAGGAAAGCGGAAUUCCUGGUGUAGAGGUGAAAUUCGUAGAUAUCAGGAGGAACACCAGUGGCGAAGGCGGCUUUCUGGACGGUAACUG